GACGAACGCUGGCGGCGUGCCUAAUACAUGCAAGUCGAACGCUGCUUAAGAAGAAACUUCGGUUUUUUCUUAAGCGGAGUGGCGGACGGGUGAGUAACACGUGGGGAACCUAUCCAUCAGCGGGGGAUAACACUUGGAAACAGGUGCUAAUACCGCAUACGGCUUUUUUUCACCUGAAAGAAAGCUCAAAGGCGCUUUACAGCGUCACUGAUGGCUGGCCCCGCGGUGCAUUAGCCAGUUGGUGAGGUAACGGCUCACCAAAGCAACGAUGCAUAGCCGACCUGAGAGGGUGAUCGGCCACACUGGGACUGAGACACGGCCCAGACUCCUACGGGAGGCAGCAGUAGGGAAUCUUCGGCAAUGGACGCAAGUCUGACCGAGCAACGCCGCGUGAGUGAAGAAGGUUUUCGGAUCGUAAAGCUCUGUUGUCAGCAAAGAACAGGAGAAAGAGGCAAUGCUUUUUCUAUGACGGUAGCUGACCAGAAAGCCACGGCUAACUACGUGCCAGCAGCCGCGGUAAUACGUAGGUGGCAAGCGUUGUCCGGAUUUAUUGGGCGUAAAGCGAGCGCAGGCGGUGAUUUAAGUCUGAUGUGAAAGCCCCCAGCUCAACUGGGGAGGGUCAUUGGAAACUGGAUCACUUGAGUGCAGAAGAGGAGAGUGGAAUUCCAUGUGUAGCGGUGAAAUGCGUAGAUAUAUGGAGGAACACCAGUGGCGAAGGCGGCUCUCUGGUCUGUAACUGACGCUGAGGCUCGAAAACGUGGGUAGCAAACAGGAUUAGAUACCCUGGUAGUCCACGCCGUAAACGAUGAGUGCUAAGUGUUGGAGGGUUUCCGCCCUUCAGUGCUGCAGUUAACGCAUUAAGCACUCCGCCUGGGGAGUACGACCGCAAGGUUGAAACUCAAAGGAAUUGACGGGGGCCCGCACAAG
rnacentral:rRNA from 1 species